UGAGCGUAAAAGUGGAAUUGUGAUUGAGGGAAGAUACAUCAGGCCUGAUUUGCUAAACAGCAACCUGAGAAUUUUCAGUUAAAUGCCCCAGGGAGAGAUGUUAGAGUUUGCAAUCUACAUUGCUGAGGUUCUGCAAAACAUGGUAUGGGUCCCUGGGGCAGAGUAUUUGGAGAGCAGGGUGGGCCAAUGCUCCAACAGCAUUAGUUGCUAUGUAACAG
rnacentral:lncRNA from 1 species